rnacentral:rRNA from 1 species
UACGAAGGGUGCGAGCGUUAUUCGGAAUCACUGGGCGUAAAGGGUGCGUAGACGGUAUGUUAAGUUUGUCGUUAAAGACUCUAGCCUAACUGGAGGGUUGCGAUGAAAACUGGCGUGCUAGAGGAUGAGAGAGAGAAGUGGAAUCCCUGGAGUAGCGGUAAAAUGCGUGGAUCUCAGGAGGAACACCAAUGGCGAAGGCAGCUUCUUGGCUCAUUCCUGACGUUGAGGCACGAAAGCGUGGGGAGCGAACAGG